CCUCUUGUGGAAGGUGGGUUCCAGCUGACUCUUGAAAGAAAUCGGGGAAGUCAGGAGGCGGAGGUGAGGAGGCCGAGUGGUCAUGGGCAACAGCUGGUGAAGAGCCAGGGCAUUACAGCCUCCCGUGUGGGGCUGCCGGGAGGGCACAGACCCUCCUCCCCUUUAAGCCGAGCCCUCUCACGGUCUGUCUGCGGAGCUGGUGUUGGGGUUUAUCUCCCGAGCCGAGCCAAGUCUCCGGUUGGCCGUCGGGUGUACCUCUGGGUGCUGGACCCCAGGAGGAGGUCGGCAGCUUUCUAAGCCCUGAGCGGGAGCCCCUGCUCCGCGGAUUUCUCCAGCCCCUGAGAGAGAGCCCUUCCAUUCGGGCCUUGCCCUUGGGCCUUCCAUGCAAGAGGCCGGUGCCCUUAGUGGGCAGAUAACCAGACGGUUCCUGGAGCUCAGUUCUCUCCACACUUGCACCAAAUGUGAAGAUCGCAGGAUCUUGCCGGGUGGAUGAGAGACUUCUUGUGGGAGAGGACCUGCCUCGAGGACUGCCUUUUGCCGUUGUGGCUGAUGAACGAUGUAUUUGAUGAAAGCUGGACCCUAGCUGGAGGUCUGCUAGAGGAGGCAGCAUGUCACAGUGGAGAGAGCUCCAGCUUCAGAGUGAGGAAGAUCUGGGUUCCAGUCCUAUUUCCACCACCUACCAACAUACAGACGUAUAUGGACCGGCUGGGCGGUGCCCCUGUAUGUAGAGCUCUGGCCCUGUCGUCAGGAAGAACAAUUCGAUAAAGCCUCAGACAAUGACUGGCUGUGUGAUCCUGGGUUAAU